GUUCCAAGGCAAGUGCUUAAUGAAGAAAAACUGAAUGGUGACUGAAUGAACUGUUGAUCAGAAGCACGACCAGAGAACCAAAAAGUCACUGGUUAACUAAAGCAAACAAUGUAAUAAAUUGAUGGACCUAAUCCACUACUGUGUAUGUAAUAAAUGAAUGAAACCAGGAUUUGAAAUGGGUCCUUGGGAAAUAAGGAAAAACUGCUGUUGGACUUCAAUAUAAUGUAUUCCUGCUGCUGCUGCUAAGUUGCUUCAGUCGUGUCUGACUCUUUGCGACCCCAUAGAUGGCAGCCCACCAGGCUCCCCCGUCCCUGGGAUUCUCCAGGCAAGAACAAUGGAGUGGGCUGCCAUUUCCUUCUCCAAUGCAUGAAAGUGAAAAGUGAAAGGGAAGUCGCUCAGUCGUGUCUGACUCUUUGCGACCCCAUGGACUGCAGCCCAUCAGGCUCCUCUGUUCGUGGGACUUUCCAGGCAAGAGUACUGGAGUGGGGUGCCAUUGCCUUCUCCGAACGUAUUCCUAAGGUUUCUUCAAGAAAGGAAUAUUGCCCUGAAUUAUAAUCUUGAGUCUUUACAGAAGAUCGUGUAUCCCUGGAGGGAUAACAGCCGCACUAGGGAAACCCACUGUCUCUCCACAUGC
ensembl:lncRNA